rnacentral:rRNA from 1 species
UACAGAGGUCCCGAGCGUUAGGCGGAAUCACUGGGCUUAAAGCGUGUGUAGGCGGAUGCCUAAGUACCUUGUGAAAUCCCAUAGCUCAACUAUGGAACUGCUUGGUAUACUGGGUGUCUUGAGCCACUUAGGGGCUACCGGAACAAAUGGUGGAGCGGUGAAAUGCGUAGAUAUCAUUUGGAACGCCAAUGGUGAAAACAGGUAGCUGGGAGUGUGCUGACGCUGGAGACACGAAAGCCAGGGGAGCGAACGGG